ensembl:lncRNA
GAGUGAAGCUCCCUGAAGCCAUGACCGGGGAUUAGGUUUCUCAGGAUACUGACAGUGCCCGAUGCAAAGGAGUGGAUGGAGGGAAAAGACCAUAGGCUUGAGAUUCCACAGAGGCAGAAUCAAAGUUCAGUCCAAAACAGAAGAGGAACAGAACUAGCUGUCAACUAUAAUAAACAGAACGUGAAAUGUGAGAGCAGGUUGUGAAAAAAGGAUAAUUAAAACAAGGGUCUUGCCAAGACUCUCAUGAACUCACGAUCCUUCUGCCUCGGUCUGGUCUCCUGAGUGCUGGGAUUACAAACGCACUCCACCGCACCCAGUUGUACCUUUCCUCAUCCUGUAGAUGCACUGACAUGUUUGAUCUCAU